UACAUAAUACUAGGUCCAAUUGAUCCACAACUUCUUCGUCUCCAGUCACAGCACCGUUGAAGCAAUUUGGAAUGGUACACUUGAGCAUGAAGUGCUUACCUGCAGGAGGCAAGGGAACAUCUUACAUGCUAACAUUGACAAUAGAAUAGUUCCCCAUCUAACAGAUUCUGGAUUUAUUGGAAUUGCUUAACUAGGAUUCUUCACUCUUGACUGGCACCUAAUUAGUGCCUUUGUAGAGCGAUGG
rnacentral:misc_RNA from 1 species